rnacentral:rRNA from 1 species
GGAGCAAUCCAUGAGUAAAGUGGCGACCGGGUGAGUAACACGUGACUAACCUACCUUUCAGUGGGGAAUAACCUCGGGAAACCGGGGCUAAUACCGCAUAAUGUCUUCGGACCAAAGGAGCAAUUCGCUGGAAGAGGGGGUCGCGGCCGAUUAGCUAGUUGGUGGGGUAACGGCCCACCAAGGCAAUGAUCGGUAGCCGGCCUGAGAGGGCGCACGGCCACACUGGAACUGAAACACGGUCCAGACUCCUACGGGAGGCAGCAGUGGGGAAUUUUGCGCAAUGGGGGAAACCCUGACGCAGCAACGCCGCGUGGAGGAUGAAGCCCCUUGGGGUGUAAACUCCUUUCGAUCGGGACGAUAAUGACGGUACCGGAUGAAGAAGCACCGGCUAACUCUGUGCCAGCAGCCGCGGUAAUACAGAGGGUGCAAGCGUUGUUCGGAAUUAUUGGGCGUAAAGGGUGCGUAGGCGGUGCGGUAAGUCUGUUGUGAAAUCUCCGGGCUCAACUCGGAGCCUGCAACGGAAACUGCCGUGCUGGAGUAUGGGAGAGGUGAGUGGAAUUCCCGGUGUAGCGGUGAAAUGCGUAGAU